rnacentral:rRNA from 1 species
UUGGAGGAAUGUAAGGCAAUAGCCUAAUGCAUUAUUUUAAUGUUUAAUCGACCAUGUCGAAUAAAAUUCUAGGUAGAGUUUUGACAAUGACAUUCUCUAUCUAUGUGUCUUGACCAAAUUACGUGCCAGCAGUCGCGGUAAUACGUAAAAGACUAGUGUUAUUCAUCUUUAAUAGGUUUAAAGAGUACCAAGACGGUUAAUAAAGCCCCUAAAGGGUACAAAUUAACUAGAGUUAUAUGAAAGGGAGCUCUUAGGUACUGUUGAGUGUAGAGAUGAAAUUCUGUGAUACCAGAUGAUUGGCACGGGUCUAUGCGAAGGCAUCUCCUUAUGUAAUAACUGACGUUGUAGGACGAAGGCUUUUGAAGUGAACAGGAUUCGAUACCCCAGUAAUCUAGGCAGAAAAUGAUGAGUGUCAUAGGUUAAAUAUAAUUUAGUCUAUAAAUGAAAGUGUAAGCAUUCCACCUCAAGAGUAAUUUGGCAACAUUGGAACUGAAAUCAUUAGACCGUUUCUGAAACCAGUAGUGAAGUAUGUUGUUUAAUUUGAUGAUCCGCAAAGAACCUUACCACUUUUAAUAAUGUUAAAAUUAUUAUUUUUUUUUUUUUUUACAUUGUUAAAAUUAUUAUCUUGAAUAAAUAUUUUUUUAAUAUUUACAAGUGUUGCACGGCUGUCUUCAGUUAAUGUCGUGAGAUUUUGGUUAGUUCCAUUAAAUUAACGAAAACCCUUACUUUAUUUUUAUAUAAAGUUGUUCACCGUUAUAUUGGAUAUGAUAAUAGGGACCAGUA